UACGUAAGGUGCAAGCGUUAAUCGGAAUUACUGGGCGUAAAGCGUGCGCAGGCGGUUAUAUAAGUCAGAUGUGAAAUCCCUGGGCUCAACCUAGGAACUGCAUUUGAGACUGUAUGGCUAGAGUGUGUCAGAGGGGGGUAGAAUUCCACGUGUAGCAGUGAAAUGCGUAGAUAUGUGGAGGAAUACCGAUGGCGAAGGCAGCCCCCUGGGAUAACACUGACGCUCAUGCACGAAAGCGUGGGGAGCAAACAGG
rnacentral:rRNA from 1 species